UGUGAGUGGACAGCCUUGAGUACAAAGGACAUUUCUACUCCCAAUUGAGAACAAUAGGAAAUUGAGCUUCCAGGUUUUGGAUCUGCCGGCCACUUGGAGGAUGAAUAUAGGGAAAAACCAAAGGUUGUGGAUGCACAUUCUGGUUGCCAAUUUGCUAUAGGAGGAAGUAGAACUAGCACAAAGAUAAAGACAAGAAGAGCAUCCAGACCAAACCAAGAAUAUACAAAAGGGAUCCAAGCCAGAAGGGAUGCAAGUCUAAAAGCACCAAGGAAUUGAGUACCAUGAUAUUUGAAAGAAUGAAAGACACUGAAUGAAUGGAAGAAAACAUAGAUAUUAUUAUUAACAAAAGGUAACUGUAUAGCACAAUGGAUAGAGAGCUGAGCUCUAUCUGGAGUUGGGAAUACUCAUUUUCUUGAGUUCAAAUUUGACUUCAGAUACUUACUAGCUAGGUGACCCUGGGCAAGUCACUUAACUCUAUUUGCCUUAAUUCUGCAUAUAUAAAAUGAGCUAGAGAAGGAAAUGGCAAACUAUUCUAGUACCUGCAAAGAAAAUUCUAAAUGGGAUCUCAAAGAGCCAGAAACAACUGAACAACAAUAAUUACUACUAAAGGGGUGGAGGGGAUAUGACUGAGGAGAGACUCUAAAUGAACACUCUAAUGCAAAUACCAACAACAUGGAAACGGGUUCGAAUCAAGAACACAUGUGAUACCCAGUGAAAUCGUGCAUUGGCUAUGGGAGAGGUGUUGGGAGGCGGGGGGUGAGGAAAAGAAAAUGAUCUUUGUUUCCAAUGAAUAAUGUUUGGAAAUGACCAAAUAAUGUUAAAAAAAAGUUAUGGGUGAAAGAUAAAAAAAAAAUCUGGUCUCAGACACAUUGUCUGUAAGACCCUGGGCAAGUCAUUUAACUUUGUCCCAGUUUCCUCAGCUAUAAGAUGAGCUGGAAAAGGAAAUGGCAAACCACUCUGGUAACUUUGCCAAGAAAAUCCCUAAUGGGGUCAUGAAGAGUCAGACAUGAGUGAAUGACAACAACUUUAAUCCCAGUGGUUUCAUAGUUGUUGAAACUCACAGGACUUGAAUAGGAUUGUCAUUAGCAGGGAGAUUGUGGGGCUUCAGAACACCCACUCUGAACAUUCUGCUAUCCUAUGCCAUCUCUUUGCUUAAUUAAAGUCUUCUAAUGACAAUCUGUAUAUAUUUCCUUUUCUGCUAAGACGAACCUCCCUGUAUGACUAUUAUCACAAUGUUGUGAAAACUAUCCACACUUGGCUCUUAAUAGUUUUCCAU
rnacentral:lncRNA from 1 species